UACGUAGGGUCCGAGCGUUGUCCGGAAUUAUUGGGCGUAAAGAGCUCGUAGGCGGUUUGUCGCGUCUGCUGUGAAAUCCCGAGGCUCAACCUCGGGCCUGCAGUGGGUACGGGCAGACUGGAGUGCGGUAGGGGAGAAUGGAAUUCCUGGUGUAGCGAUGGAAUGCGCAGAUAUCAGGAGGAACACCGAUGGCGAAGGCAGUUCUCUGGGCCGUAACUGACGCUGAGGAGCGAAAGCGUGGGGAGCGAACGGG
rnacentral:rRNA from 1 species